rnacentral:rRNA from 1 species
AUGGGAGCAGCAGCGAGCUCAGCAAGGCUCGGGUGCCGACCGGGAGAAGCAGGAGGCAGCGGCAUCAGGGAACGACCGGUGGACGGAGCAGCUCCAGGGAGCAGGGGACGGUCGGCGGUCGGGACGAACGGAUCAGUCCCUCUCCCGCCGGAUCUGGUGGUAGCUGCGGCUAGGUGGCAUGGGGUCGAGGGCGACGGGGACAAGACCAGCUGCUCCGGCGCAGUCGAGAUGGCAGUGGGGCUCGGGCUCCUGGCGUCGGAGAUGAGAGGGAGGAGGAGCGGCGAUGUGGCGGAGGAGAGGAGGCCAGAGCAAGGGAAGGAGGGUGACACAGAGGUGAGGCACGGGGCAGCAAUGUGCCGAAGGACGGCGGGGAUGAGGGAGCUCCUCUCCCUGGCGCGAGGAGGGAGACGAGUGGAGGACAAAAGAGGAUCGAGCCGAGGCUCUCCCUGGCGGCGCAAGCGAGGGGGAAUGAGGAGUGAUGGGGAUCGAUCCGGGGUGGCGACUCCUCGGUGA